UGAGGCCUUGAUUUGCACACAAGACUGGUUGAAGAAUCGCCCAAUGAUCUAUGAGGAAGUGUUUCAGGACUUUAUGGAAAGCUAUGAUGAACCUGAUGGGCCUAAGAAUCAACAUUCUCAUUCAAUGACGACUGACACAUCUUAUUCCUAGAGGAAGGAUUUUGCUAGAAGACCGA